AAUCUAGUUCCUUCGAUACCAAUGUAUUCUAUAAAAUUCAUAUACCAAUGUAUUCAAAAAAUUCAUAUUACUAGAAUACAUUGGUAUCGAAGGAACUAGAUU